rnacentral:rRNA from 1 species
UGGGGAAUAUUGGACAAUGGGCGAAAGCCUGAUCCAGCCAUGCCGCGUGUGUGAAGAAGGUCUUCGGAUUGUAAAGCACUUUAAGUUGGGAGGAAGGGCAUUAACCUAAUACGUUAGUGUUUUGACGUUACCGACAGAGUAAGCACCGGCUAACUCUGUGCCAGCAGCCGCGGUAAUACAGAGGGUGCAAGCGUUAAUCGGAAUUACUGGGCGUAAAGCGCGCGUAGGUGGUCCGUUAAGUUGGAUGUGAAAUCCCCGGGCUCAACCUGGGAACUGCAUUCAAAACUGACGAGCUAGAGUAUGGUAGAGGGUGGUGGAAUUUCCUGUGUAGCGGUGAAAUGCGUAGAUAUAGGAAGGAACACCAGUGGCGAAGGCGACCACCUGGACUGAUACUGACACUGAGGUGCGAAAGCGUGGGGAGCAAACA